UCUAUAAUCCAAGAUUAGGGGCAGUUUGGUAGCUGCUAAGUAAAGCAUCUGGUCCCCAGCUCAAACCUCGUACAGGUUGAGGAGCAACAUGGGGAUUCAGGGGCUGUUGCCGCUGCUGAAAUCGAUCAUGGUGCCAAUCCACAUCAAGGAAUUGAACGGCUGUUGUGUUCCGGUCGACACCUACUCUUGGCUCCACAAGGGUGCCUUGUCUUGCAGCAGAGAGCUCUGCAAAGGCCUACCCACCACCAGGUGAUUAAGCACUUGAGGUACAGCACUGUUUCUGUUCCUCCAUUAUAUGAAGAAUCAUUCAAGAAAGCAAUAUUGACUUUCCAGCAUCAACGGUUGAAAUGCUAGAAAUCCUUCCUUGACAUGGGAUACAUUGAUAUCACAACAUACAGCGAAAGGCAUAGCAGAAGGUGAUCUUGAUCCAUUUACCAAAAUGCAGUUUCAGGGAGAGAAUGUUAGUGCUGACACGGUGCUUAACAAAAAAAUCCCAAAGUAAACAAUUUAAUCCUGAUAGCAUGAAGAAAAAGCUAGAUUUGCCGGUUCAGAAGAAUCUCUUGACUA